GACGUAGGGGACGAGCGUUGUCCGGAUUCAUUGGGCGUAAAGCGCGCGCAGGCGGCCGUGUAAGUCGGAUGUGAAAUGCCGGGGCUCAACCCCGGAACUGCAUCCGAUACUGCACGGCUAGAGGUAGGUAGGGGAGAUCGGAAUUCCUGGUGUAGCGGUGAAAUGCGCAGAUAUCAGGAGGAACACCGGUGGCGAAGGCGGAUCUCUGGGCCUUACCUGACGCUCAUGCGCGAAAGCUAGGGGAGCGAACAGG
rnacentral:rRNA from 1 species